GGUGAUGAGUUCUAAUAAAAUACUCACUAGACUCCGAAGAAUCAGAAAAUAUCAAUUGUUGUGACUGCCCUCCCUUUUGAAGGGACAAGAGGCUCCCAAAAUCUAAAAAUAAAAAAAACAGAAUUUUGGGAAAAACAGGACAGAAACACCCUUUCAACCUCAAACCAUGGAACAACUACACUUUGUGGAAUACUCAAGAAAUCGAUCCGCUUAUAUUGCAUUAUCUAGCUUAUGUUGCUAUCUUUCCAACGCGCGCGAGUAAACAUAGGAACAUACUCUUCAAUACAACAAUUUUUUGGUGAUGUUUGCACACAUUGGGGGUUUGAAUGCACGAUGGUAGAGGACCUCAAAACAAACACUUCUGCAUCAUUAGUUUGUCAGGGAGACGUAUUAAUAAGAAAGUUAUUGUAUUUGGCGAAUUUUGAGUAAGCCUUUGAAUAAAAUAGGUCUGAAACAUUAGAUUUUGUUAGAAAUUUAUAUUGAUAUAUGCAUUUUCAGAAAGGCGAGACUUUUCCAUAAAUUUUGGUACCCCAUUCAUCAAAAUCGGUUGGGUGGUUCCCGAGAUAUAGAACUAAACGUAUUCGAAAUCAGUGAAAAAUCAUCGAAAGAAGUUUUUUACUUUUUGGCAAACUUUGUUUGUAUGGAAAAGUAUUGGUUUUACUAGUCGAAAUUUCAUGACAUCUCCUCUUUCGGACCACUAUAACGUCACGCCAAACUUCAAAAAGCACAUAUCUGUACACUAGGCAAUGUAGAUGGGAACAAAUCCUAUCGAUCAAGACCUAUCUGCCUCCAAAAA